rnacentral:pre_miRNA from 1 species
UAGAAACUCCAUUUUCAGUCUUUGAUAUAACGUUUGAGUUUUUGUUUUAUUUAAACGUUUUAAAAUUAGUAUUUUUGUUAUUAUUAGAUGAUAAAAUAUAAAUAGUAUUUUGCGCAUGACUAAUUUUUCUAAUUUUCUUAUAAAUUUUAAAAUAAAAUAGACGGUCAAAUGUUAAACUCACAAACCUAUAAGUGGGGUUUUU